AAGCAGUAAUUGAUCUGUCAUUGAAGAAAACUGGACCAAUUCAAUACAAAUGCAAUGCAAUUGAAAACUUUGAUAACCACUGAGUACAUAGAACAAAUCUGAUUAACAUAUCUCAUCAACUGCUUUUAUGACACAUUGUUUAAAUUGUAAAGAGACUUUGUG